rnacentral:rRNA from 1 species
AGUGAACGCUGGCGGUAGGCCUAACACAUGCAAGUCGAACGGCAGCACAGUAAGAGCUUGCUCUUACGGGUGGCGAGUGGCGGACGGGUGAGGAAUACAUCGUAAUCUACUUUUUCGUGGGGGAUAACGUAGGGAAACUUACGCUAAUACCGCAUACGACCUACGGGUGAAAGCAGGGGAUCUUCGGACCUUGCGCGAUUGAAUGAGCCGAUGUCGGAUUAGCUAGUUGGCGGGGUAAAGGCCCACCAAGGCGACGAUCCGUAGCUGGUCUGAGAGGAUGAUCAGCAACACUGGAACUGAGACACGGUCAAGACUCCUACGGGAGGCAGCAGUGGGGAAUAUUGGACAAUGGGCGCAAGCAUGAUCCAGCCAUACCGCGUGGGUGAAGAAGGCCUUCGGGUUGUAAAGCCCUUUUGUUGGGAAAGAAAAGCAGCAGGUUAAUACCCCGCUGUUCUGACGGUACCCAAAGAAUAAGCACCGGCUAACUUCGUG